rnacentral:rRNA from 1 species
GAUGAACGCUGGCGGCGUGCCUAAUACAUGCAAGUCGAGCGAACGGACGAGAAGCUUGCUUUUCUGAUGUUAGCGGCGGACGGGCGAGUAACACGUGGAUAACCUACCUAUAAGACUGGGAUAACUUCGGGAAACCGGAGCUAAUACCGGAUAAUAUUUUGAACCGCAUGGUUCAAAAGUGAAAGACGGUCUUGCUGUCACUUAUAGAUGGAUCCGCGCUGCAUUAGCUAGUUGGUAAGGUAACGGCUUACCAAGGCAACGAUGCAUAGCCGACGUGAGAGGGUGAUCGGCGACACUGGAACGGGGACACGGUCCAGACUCCUACGGGAGGCAGCAGUAGGGAACCUGCCGCAAUGGGCGAAAGCAUGACGGAGCAACGCCGCGUGAGUGAUGAAGGUCUUCGGAGCGUAAAACUCUGUUAUUAGGGAAGAACAUAUGUGUAAGUAACUGUGCACAUCUUGACGGUACCUAAUCAGAAAGCCACGGCUAACUACGUG